rnacentral:lncRNA from 1 species
UGUUAUUCAUCAGUGGAAAUAUAAUCGUGAGAAUAUGUUAGUUGUCACUUCCUGGCUGCUAGUAUUAGAAUAAAAUGCCAUACCGGAUACAACAUGAGUCAUAUUUCUAUUGUUGAUUUGAAUUACAGACAUUAAUCUAGUUUCUGUACUCUGCUAUCAUUACGACAAUUUCUAGAUAAUAGAGGUUCAUAAAAUAAACGUAAAUGAUUUCAUUCUCAAAAGCUUUAUAAUAAAUAUUCCCUCAGAAUAAAAGACAUAUUUGUCGUCUCUCCGCUGUUACGUUGUUUCGUUUCUGUUCCGCUCUCUGAAAUAUCACUUAGAUACAUUAUAUGCAGCAUUCAUAACAUUCUGCUUUAUGAGAACUUGACUUCCUAUGAAAACGCUUGUGCAUUACAGUUACAUUGUUAUCACACGGAACAUAAUGAUUAAUUUCUGUGUAAAAUCGAACUCGUAGUUUCUGACUGCUUAACUAUUAGAAAAUAAUGAAACAUCACAUUGUUGUUUCAUUGUUGCUCAUUAUAAUUCAGUGAAUCAGUUUCAUUCAAUGAGUUUACGUCAUAAUACCGUUCUGUCGUCUUUAAACAGUGAUGUACUUUACUUUAAACUGACCAUUAUCAAAGUAUUGUUAGGCACGAAACACACAAAUGAUUUUCAUAUUUCAUUUUGGACAUGAAUUGAAAUAUGCAUGGAAAAGGUCAAGUCUGAUGCACCGGACAUAUCCUGAAGGAAGUUUCAAUCUUGUCCACCACCUAGUUUAGGAGGGCAAUUUUCUGUCAGUAAUAUUUCGCGAUUAUCCCAUCUCUCUAUGCCUUUCUGUCGUGUUAAGAAAUGGGUACGUUCAAGGGCAAAUUGUCUUGCAUUCUUAGCAGGUUACGCGAAAACGUAGUGGUUCUCCGAUCACUAACAUUCCAGUGACGUUUAUUUCAUCUCAGUUUUCUGCUUUCGUAUACAAGUUGUUUACUUCUAAGAGAUUCACGCAUGUCAAGCAGCCCAAGUUUCUCUGAAAAUUUCUCAUGGGAGAAAUUACUGUGCUCGGAGAGUAAAUGAAAGUGUUGCGUUAUGAGCAUUAUUACGUAAGCAAUAAGCAUUAUGACUCGUAUCAGUUUUUACAUUUCACUGCCUUCUAAUUUCAAGUUGCUAAAACCUGCAACGCAUAUUAAAUAUUUUAUAUCAUUAAAAAAUAAAACGAACAUGAAUAUUAUUA